CGCUAGUUCCAGUGGAGCCGUCCUUGAAAUACCACCCUGGUAAUGUUGAGGUUCUAACUCUGUCCCGUGAUCCGGGACGAGGACCGUGUCUGGUGGGUAGUUUGACUGGGGCGGUCUCCUCCUAAAGAGUAACGGAGGAGUACGAAGGUGCGCUCAGCGUGGUCGGAAAUCACGCGUAGAGUAUAAAGGCAAAAGCGCGCUUAACUGCGAGACCCACAAGUCGAGCAGGUACGAAAGUAGGUCUUAGUGAUCCGGUGGUUCUGUAUGGAAGGGCCAUCGCUCAACGGAUAAAAGGUACUCUGGGGAUAACAGGCUGAUACCGCCC
rnacentral:rRNA from 1 species